AGAGUUUGAUCAUGGCUCAGAGCGAACGCUGGCGGCAGGCUUAACACAUGCAAGUCGAACGGGCACUUCGGUGCUAGUGGCAGACGGGUGGGUAACACGUGGGGACGUACCUUUCGGUUCGGAAUAAUUCAGGGAAACUUGGACUAAUACCGGAUAAGCCCUUCGGGGGAAAGAUUUAUCGCCGAUAGAUCGGCCCGCGUCUGAUUAGCUAGUUGGUGAGGUAAUGGCUCACCAAGGCGACGAUCAGUAGCUGGUCUGAGAGGAUGAUCAGCCACAUUGGGACUGAGACACGGCCCAAACUCCUACGGGAGGCAGCAGUGGGGAAUAUUGGACAAUGGGCGAAAGCCUGAUCCAGCCAUGCCGCGUGUGUGAUGAAGGCCUUAGGGUUGUAAAGCACUUUUGUCCGGGAAGAUAAUGACUGUACCGGAAGAAUAAGCCCCGGCUAACUUCGUGCCAGCAGCCGCGGUAAUACGAAGGGGGCUAGCGUUGCUCGGAAUCACUGGGCGUAAAGGGCGCGUAGGCGGACUCUUAAGUCGGGGGUGAAAGCCCAGGGCUCAACCCUGGAAUUGCCUUCGAUACUGAGAGUCUUGAGUUCGGAAGAGGUUGGUGGAACUGCGAGUGUAGAGGUGAAAUUCGUAGGUAUUCGCAAGAACACCAGUGGCGAAGGCGGCCAACUGGUCCGAUACUGACGCUGAGGCGCGAAAGCGUGGGGAGCAAACAGGAUUAGAUACCCCGGUAGUCC
rnacentral:rRNA from 1 species